GAUGAACGCUGGCGGCGUGCCUAAUACAUGCAAGUCGAGCGAACAGACGAGGAGCUUGCUCCUCUGACGUUAGCGGCGGACGGGUGAGUAACACGUGGAUAACCUACCUAUAAGACUGGGAUAACUUCGGGAAACCGGAGCUAAUACCGGAUAAUAUAUUGAACCGCAUGGUUCAAUAGUGAAAGACGGUUUUGCUGUCACUUAUAGAUGGAUCCGCGCCGCAUUAGCUAGUUGGUAAGGUAACGGCUUACCAAGGCAACGAUGCGUAGCCGACCUGAGAGGGUGAUCGGCCACACUGGAACUGAGACACGGUCCAGACUCCUACGGGAGGCAGCAGUAGGGAAUCUUCCGCAAUGGUCGAAAGCUUGACGGAGCAACGCCGCGUGAGUGAUGAAGGUCUUCGGAUCGUAAAACUCUGUUAUUAGGGAAGAACAAAUGUGUAAGUAACUAUGCACGUCUUGACGGUACCUUAUCAGAAAGCCACGGCUAACUACGUG
rnacentral:rRNA from 1 species